rnacentral:rRNA from 1 species
UACAGAGGUCCCGAGCGUUGUUCGGAUUCACUGGGCGUAAAGGGUGCGUAGGUGGCAUGGUAAGUUUGAUGUGAAAGCUCAGGGCUUAACCCUGAAAUGGCAUUGAAUACUACUGUGCUGGAGGUUUGGAGGGGGGACUGGAAUUCUUGGUGUAGCAGUGAAAUGCGCAGAUAUCAGGAGGAACACCGGUGGCGAAGGCGGUUCUCUGGGCAUUACCUGACGCUGAGGAGCGAAAGUGUGGGGAGCGAACAGG